rnacentral:rRNA from 1 species
AUGCAUAUCAAAAAUCUACUCCUUCAUUUUGCUGCCUUCAUUGGUCUGAAAGUUAACUACAGCAAGUCAAUCAUGAUUCCCAUCAACACUUCUGAUGAACAGAUGCAGUUUUUGUCUUCUAUCUUUGAAUGUCAGAUUGGUAAACUUCCUCAUACUUAUUUGGGUUUACCCCUCAGCAUACACAAACCUAGAGUGGAGAAUUACUUACCUCUUCUGAAGAGAGUUGAAAACAGAGUGCUUGGUUGUUCAACUCCGCUUUCUAUGGGAGACAAAUUAACUCUCAUUAAGUCAGUUUUCUCUAGCUUGCCAAUUUUCUUCACGUGCACUCUCAGUUUACCUAAAACAGUGGUUAAGCAAUUAAACAUUUAUCUCAAGAACUGCUUCUAG